rnacentral:lncRNA from 1 species
AGAAACCCAUAAAAGGCUUCAGCUUAGUUUAGAUGUGUCCAACUUGGAAAAAACUUUUUUUUUUUUUUUGCUCAGAUUUUGGGGAUUUUUGCACUGUUUUGAAGAAAUUGGGAAUUCAGUGCAUUUCCCCUGGAUUUUGUGUACCCCUUAGCCCAUCCCCCUCCUUUGCGGGACCCACUGUGGCUUGGGAGAGAAUGGAUGGUAGUCAGUUCAGACCUGGUCUCCUACUGCACCCGGACCCCUUCUCCUUCUGACCCCCAGGCCCUGCUGCUGAGCUCAGUCCAAGCACUGGGGCCUUCUUUACUUCUGAUGCCCUGGAGUCCCUCAAAUCAAAUGUCAACUCUGAUCCUGUCCCCACCCUGUCUACCCACUAUGUCUGCACUUCACUUCUACGUAGCUCAAGUGCCCUCUCCUGGGAUUCCCAACGUCCAGCAUGCCAGGUGGCCACUAUAGCCUAGAGAGACUUGACAGACUUGGUGGAAUCUCUUUGCCAUCUCUGGAUGAAAACACAGGAUACAUAGUGAACGGUAAGCAACGAGUCUGCGUCUGUGGGUUCUCAAACUUGGCAUUACAGCAGAACUGCCCGGAGAGCUUGUUAACACAAAGAUUUCCAGACCCCAAGGCCAGACCCCUAUUUCAGUAGGGCUGGGAUGGAGGCCCAGGUGAUGCUGCUCCUGAUCAGGGGCCACACUUAAUAACCACUGGUCUACAUCAAUCCAAGGCACUUGAACUUUAUUCAUAGGCAGUGUAAGAUCCUUGAAGGAUGUGAAUCCAGGUGGGAGGGGGUUACAGGCUCACAAUGACGUUUUCCAAAGCUCAGACUGCCAUAGCGUGGAGGAGUCCCUUGAGUGGACCGCAGCUGGGCACAGGAAGGCUAAACAGAGGCUGUCGGCAUGCUCCCAGUCAUGUCCACGAUGAGGUAUUUUGUGCAGGCUUACAAGAAUGAGAUCUUGACAGCAAAAUUGCGCUGGGCCACUUCCAAGAGCCCGAGAAAGGUAGAAGGUUGGGGAAGAUGGUUUAGAAGAAACCACUAACCGGAGACAGGAGGCCUCAAAGACAAAUGUUGGCCCUUUGCCAGUUUUGCCAAGCUCCAGUCCAGUUUCCAAAACAGAGACUGUGUCCUUGCAGAGAGGUCUCCCGAAGCGACUCUCACUGGGCAGAACUGCUGAAUACAUAGGUCCGGCUCUCUCCCUCCCUCCCUCCUUCUCUGCCCUCUGGGGAGACUAUUCUAUUUGGGGAGAGCCACUUGGAGAACAGGUGGUGAUAAUUACCAGGAGACCGGCCAUUUCCCUGCCUCAUCUUUCAAUGUGUCAAAAAGGCUGACUUAGGGAAUUAUGGAGUGUGGGAGCUUCCCUGAUUUGUUCAGUUCAGUAAUACUGGGCAGAGCCUGGUCACUCUGACUUAGUGUCUGAUGUAUAAUUUUGGAAAGACAUUAAAAAUGAUCUCAACUCUA